AUCAAACAUUGGACAAGAUGUUCUAUGACCUCUAAUAUUUUAUUUUAUCAACUUAAAAUAAUUCUCUGAGUCUCCAUAUCAUACGCAUUGCAUGAAUAAUGUCAUCAUGGACACCUCAAUAUCACCCAAGGAUUCAAUGAUGUCAGUAUCAUUCAAAAUGGGUACCCUCAAAAACUGUUAUUUGCCAUUAUAAUUGAGAAGUUAGCCAUUAUUUACCUACCCAAGUGCCAGUUUUUU
rnacentral:lncRNA from 1 species